AUAGAGAACCGACAAGUCCUCAUGCGCUGCGCAGUGCCAGAGGUUGAACUUCCUACCGGAAGUGGGUUCAUUUUCCACCGGAAGGAGGCUGAAAUUGCGGCCGAAAUCCUGACACCUGAUGCUGGCGGCUUUUGUUUCGCGAAGUUGGGCCAGUAUGUGGCCACCUUUGGCGGCGGGUGACUGGUGUCCGGGAAUCCUGUUGCCUGCCACUCCUGCUAGGAUUCACUACCAGAGCCUCAAACAGGCUAGACAAGUGUACCACCAGUGAGCUGUAGCCCAGCCCUCAGGGCUUUUGUUGUCUUAGGUAACCAGCUCAGACUUUCUCCAGACUUACCAGUUCAUUGCACUGGGACACGGAGCAACACUAGGUGUAUGUAUUACCUGAACACACAGAGCAGCUGUUUCCAUGCUUGGAUCAGUCAGAGAUUAUGCAGCCACAACUAUGCCUUAGAUGUGUGUAAUUCAAGUGGAGAAAACACAAGCCCGUGAUGUCGAUAUCAACACUUGAGUGUUCUGUAAACGAUUUAUCAGAGGUUGCAGCUGAACACGGCCAUGAGGUAAACCCUGCCCCUGGUUGACAUUUAGUUUCUUCAGCUUCUACGUGGGAUUUUAAGGACUUGGGAUAUAUCACAAAACCCAGCAGCCGCCCCCCACCCUUUUAAGAUUUAUUUUUUCUUCCUGAAGAUUCCAUGCUUAAAGUUCUUUAUGGUUAGUAACUGUGAUGCUUGAAGUUGGUUAUCCCUUAUUCUAGUAAAUCUUAAAUGUCAAAGAUAUAGAUAUCUUGUUAAAUAAAGAAAAGAAUCAAAAUCUUUUGGGUGUCAUGUUUUAGUCAUGUCCCCAUGAUUGUGUUAUGUAUGAAGCAUCCAGGAAUCCCACAGAACUUGGAACUCAAACUGGCCA
ensembl:lncRNA